rnacentral:tRNA from 1 species
GGCGAAGUAGCUCAGCUGGUUAGAGCGUCGGAAUCAUAAUCCGUAGGUCGGGGGUUCAAGUCCCUCCUUCGCUA